rnacentral:rRNA from 1 species
UGGAGCAUGUGGUUUAAUUCGAAGCAACGCGAAGAACCUUACCAGGCCUUGACAUGCAGAGAACUUUCCAGAGAUGGAUUGGUGCCUUCGGGAACUCUGACACAGGUGCUGCAUUGGCUGUCGUCAGCUCGUGUCGUGAGAUGUUGGGUUAAGUCCCGUAACGAGCGCAACCCUUGUCCUUAGUUACCAGCACGUUAUGGUGGGCACUCUAAGGAGACUGCCGGUGACAACCGGAGGAAGGUGGGGAUGACGUCAAGUCAUCAUGGCCCUUACGGCCUGGGCUACACACGUGCUACAAUGGUCGGUACAAAGGGUUGCCAAGCCGCGAGGUGGAGCUAAUCCCAUAAAACCGAUCGUAGUCCGGAUCGCAGUCUGCAACUCGACUGCGUGAAGUCGGAAUCGCUAGUAAUCGUGGAUCAGAAUGUCACGGUGAAUACGUUCCCGGGCCUU